UACGGGGGGAGCAAGCGUUGUUCGGAUUUACUGGGCGUAAAGGGCGCGUAGGCGGCCAGCACAAGUCAGUUGUGAAAUCUCCGAGCUUAACUCGGAAAGGUCAACUGAUACUGUGCGGCUAGAGUGCGGAAGGGGCAACUGGAAUUCUUGGUGUAGCGGUGAAAUGCGUAGAUAUCGGGAGGAACACCAGUGGCGAAGGCGACUUCCUGGCCUGUUCUUGACGCUGAGGCGCGAAAGCUAGGGUAGCAAACGGG
rnacentral:rRNA from 1 species